UAGCGAAGGGGGCUAGCGUUGUUCGGAAUUACUGGGCGUAAAGCGCACGUAGGCGGACAUUUAAGUCAGGGGUGAAAUCCCAGAGCUCAACUCUGGAACUGCCUUUGAUACUGGGUGUCUUGAGUAUGGAAGAGGUGAGUGGAAUUCCUAGUGAUUAGAGGUGAAAUUCGUAAGAUAUUCGCAAGAACACCAGUGGCGAAG
rnacentral:rRNA from 1 species